CUUAGGUCGGGGAUAAACCCGGGAAACUGGGUAUAAUACCCGAUAGAUCUCGGCUGCUGGAAUGCAUCGAGCUCUAAAGCUCCGGCGCCUAAGGAUGGGUCUGCGGCCUAUCAGGUAGUAGUGGGUGUAGCGUACCUACUAGCCUACGACGGGUACGGGUUGUGAGAGCAAGAGCCCGGAGAUGGAUUCUGAGACACGAAUCCAGGCCCUACGGGGUGCAGCAGGCGCGAAAACUUUACAAUGCUGGAAACAGCGAUAAGGGGACCUCGAGUGCCAGGUUACAAAUCUGGCUGUCGUGAUGCCUAAAAAGCAUUGCAUAGCAAGGGCCGGGCAAGACCGGUGCCAGCCGCCGCGGUAACACCGGCGGCUCGAGUGGUAACCGUUAUUAUUGGGUCUAAAGGGUCUGUAGCCGGCCGGAUAAGUCUCUUGGGAAAUCCAGCAGCUCAACUGUUGGGCUUUCAGGAGAUACUGUCUGGCUCGAGGCCGGGAGAGGUGAGAGGUACUUCAGGGGUAGGGGUGAAAUCUUGUAAUCCUUGAAGGACCACCAGUGGCGAAGGCGUCUCACCAGAACGGACCUGACGGCAAGGGACGAAAGCUAGGGGCACGAACCGGAUUAGAUACCCGGGUAGUCCUAGCCGUAAACGAUACUCGCUAGGUGUCGGCCACGGUGCGACCGUUGUCGGUGCCGUAGGGAAGCCGUGAAGCGGGCCACCUGGGAAGUACGGCCGCAAGGCUGAAACUUAAAGGAAUUGGCGGGGGAGCACCACAACGGGUGGAGCUUGCGGUUUAAUUGGAUUCAACGCCGGAAAUCUUACCGGGACCGACAGCAAUAUGAAGGCCAGGCUGAAGACUUUGCCGGAUUAGCUGAGAGGUGGUGCAUGG
rnacentral:rRNA from 1 species